rnacentral:tRNA from 1 species
UUCUAAUAUGGCAGAUUAGUGCAAUGGAGUUAAGUACCAAAUAUAAAGUUUACCCUUUUUUUAGAA